rnacentral:rRNA from 1 species
GCCUUCCGGGAGUUACUUUCGGACAGAAAGACAGGUGGUGCAUGGUUGUCGUCAGCUCGUGUCGUGAGAUGUUGGGUUAAGUCCCGCAACGAGCGCAACCCCUACGGUUAGUUGCUAACGGGUAAGGCCGAGCACUUUAGCCGAACUGCCGUUGACAAAACGGAGGAAGGCGGGGAUGACGUCAAAUCAUCAUGCCCUUUAUGUCCUGGGCUACACACGUGCUACAAUGGCCUGUACAAAGGGCAGCAAAGGGCAACCCGGAGCAAAUCCCAAAAAACAGGUCUCAGUUCGGAUUGCAGGCUGCAACUCGCCUGCAUGAAGUCGGAAUCGCUAGUAAUCGCAGGUCAGCAUACUGCGGUGAAUACGUUCCCGGGCCUU